ensembl:snRNA U6 U6 spliceosomal RNA
GUGCUCGCUUAGUAGCACAUAUACUAAAACUGGAGCGAUACAGAGAAGCUUAGCAUGGCCCCUGCACAAGGAUGACACGCAAAUCCAUGAAGUGUCCAUAUCAAAA